rnacentral:tRNA from 1 species
GAAGGUAUAGCUCAGUGGUAGAGUGCAUGCUUAGCAUGCAGGAGAUCCUGGGCUCAAUCCCCAGUACCUCCA